GAUGAACGCUAGCGGCAGGCCUAACACAUGCAAGUCGAACGGUAACAGGGAUUGCUUGCAAUCCGCUGACGAGUGGCGCACGGGUGCGUAACGCGUAUACAAUCUACCUUUUACAGGGGGAUAGCCUUUAGAAAUGAAGAUUAAUAUCCCAUAGUAUAAUUAAUUGGCAUCAUUUGAUUAUUAAAGUUUCGGCGGUAAAAGAUGAGUAUGCGUUCUAUUAGCUAGUAGGUGUGGUAACGGCACACCUAGGCAACGAUAGAUAGGGGCCCUGAGAGGGGGAUCCCCCACACUGGUACUGAGACACGGACCAGACUCCUACGGGAGGCAGCAGUGAGGAAUAUUGGACAAUGGAGGCAACUCUGAUCCAGCCAUGCCGCGUGCAGGAAGACUGCCCUAUGGGUUGUAAACUGCUUUUAUACAGGAAGAAACCUUUCCACGUGUGGAGAGCUGACGGUACUGUAAGAAUAAGGAUCGGCUAACUCCGUG
rnacentral:rRNA from 1 species